ACUCCCAUCUUCCCAGCAGAUGUUACACAGCCAUACUUUAGUGAGCUAUCAAUUAAGGGAAUGCAGUUACCCUAAGGUAUAUCUGAGGAAGAUCCUACCUCUAGGCCACUUCCUUAGUUCUGUACCAUACAUUUUUAUGAAGCUUGUAACCUGAAUGUUUCUUGAGUUGCAGGGUUGGUCCUCUGUGUGUGCAUGAAAUACAAAGUGUGCCUGCAGUCCAAGCACCUCCUUCUGAGCCCCCGCACCAAGUGCAGAUGGAUUGGUUCCUUGGCCACUCACCUUACCUCCAAGAAAACGUGGAAGAGAGAUGCCUUUGGGAGCAAUCUGACUAAAUGACUUCCCUGGGGUCCAACAAGUACUGCAGGGCAGAAGCUGAACUGAACUCAGAGCUCCCAAGCAUUAGCAGGGCCUUAACCACAGAACGAUCUUUGUCUCAUUAUGUUAACAUGAUCUCAGUUAAAUGCUGCCUGACUUAAGUCUGUGAAGAUGAAAGCAAUGCUCUAGCUUAAAAAUGGAAUAAAAUGCUGGAAUCACUUCAGUACUAGUGAAUUAUUAAUAUUAACCAUGUAAAGAAAAAGUUCAGUGUUUCAGAGGAGUAGCUUAAAAAAAAGGGCUUU